CUUUCGUGUUGGAAAAAUGGAACUGCUACAUAUUGUAGACUUUUCGCAUUGUUGAUUGUUUUUAAUUUCUUAGAAUAGUGCUUUAUUAUUAAUAAUUCAUGAUUUCUAUUUUCAUUUUAAAUUAUCUUUACUGAACCAGUAAACUUUCAAUAGUAAGAUGUAUUCCAAUAUAGUAAUUACGAGACAGAUUUCAAAAAUUAAAUGUUUAUGUCGAUCCUUGGUAAGUAUCGAAAGUCAGAAAACUCCACAAAGUGGUGCCUCUAGUGAUGGUAUAUCACCGCCUGUUCGCAUACAAAGAGGGCCAACUGAUAUACUUCAAGCUUUGUCCACCACUGUUGGAAUUGAUCCUACAGCUGCACAUUACAAGUACCAUGAUGAUCCAUAUUUAAUACCAUUAUCAAAUUAUCGUAAGAGAGCUUAUGCACUGGCAGCUGAAGCUGGUCGAAAAGCAGCAAUAUGGAUUAGAGAUGAACAUGCAGACUUGUUUACAACAAGAAUCUGGGAUCCUCCGCUAAGGAAAAAAACACCUUACUAUAAUGCUGAUCCGAAAAUUGAAGCUUUCUCGCCCAAACCGAUUUAUAAUGACGAAAGCAAGGUAACUGAAGAAGAUCUAAUAUAUACAAUCCAAAAUGCUCUCAUUGAAGACUCAAUUAAAGUAUAUCAGUUACUUGGCGGGAGUCAAGGAGUGAGUGAUGAACUGAAACUGCAAUUGUUGCAACUUCUGUGUUUCUAUAAUGAAAAGGAGCCUGAUUCUGUGGAAUGGUUAGAGGAGAGAUGGUUUUCGGCAAACACUAGAGAACGACAAGCAGCUACUUGGAGAUUGGGAAGUUUGGCAGAUACAAUUUUUACAUCAAUGGAACCAAAAAGUCCAGAAGCAUACUGUGCAAUCAUACAAGGAAUGGCAAAAUACUAUCAGGCAGAAAGAGCUUAUGAACUAUCUCAGGAAGCAAUUGAAAAAGGCAUACCAUUGUCGACUGGGGUAUACAAUGCUUUACUAGGAUGUAUAGGGUUCUUGAGAGAAGGUGCUACCUUACGGAUAGAAGCCCUAAAAUCGACACUAAUGCAAAUGAACGAACAGGGUCUCUCGCCAAAUAUUGAGACAUUGAGUGCUUGUCUCCGUUCUAUAUCUGUGUGGGGUGGCGGCAUACAAUUACAAAAUUUGGCAAUGCAAUUAGUUGCUGAAUUUAGAGAGCUUGGCAUCCAACCUGGACUCUCUGCUUAUUAUUAUUUACUCUGCUUGUUCUGUAAAGAAAGAGGGCCCCGUAAUAAUAUUCUAUCGAAGAUCCUCACUGAUUUGGAGAGCAGAGAACGUUUAGAAGUGAAUGAACCAACAGACACGAAUUUCUUUAUUACUGCAAUGGGCGUGUGCAGUGACCAUUUACAGGAUAUAAACAUGGCAGAAAGAGUCCACGCUCUGCUUAUGAAGAACAAUAACUAUAAAUUGGUAGGCGACGCCUACAAGGAGAGCAUAUACUACAGACAUCUAGUAACUGUUGCUUGCAGGCAUGCACCAUUCGAGAAAGCAACCGAAUAUUUAGACACGCUAAUACCAAAUAUUUAUAUACCGGAACCAUCGGUAAUGGAAGAGAUCAUAAGAACCUUAGAAGUGGCAGGCGCGGGCGACCGACUGGCACAGGCGUGGUCCCAGAUCAUAGUGUUCGGACACGCGAAACGAACCAAACUCGUUGAAAGGCUGCUCUCAGCUUUAUGUAAUUGUUACGAGUAUCAGGAGGAAGAUGUAAAAGAGAAAAUACGAUCAGCGGCUGAAAGUAUAUUGAAACAUGGAGAGACUUUAGAACAAAGAGAUGAAUCCAGAGACCAGAGAUCACCGGUCUCACAAAAGUUAUCGGCGACAGCGCUUUCGAACAUCAUCGAGCUAUUGUCCGACGUGUCAGAUAAAUCUUCCGAACGCUGGACCAGUGUUGAAACUGCACUCAAUAAAUUAAAACAGGAGCAAGCCACCGGAGUUCCAUCUAAGCCAGAAUCUAUAUCAACCUUAGCCGAGAAGGCUGCCUCUAUGGGAAAACUAGAAAUAGCUGCUACGGCCGUAGCUUACCUGGCGGAGUGCGGGUUCGAGGAGGCGGCGGGUGCGAGCGCGCGCGUGCUGGGCGCGAUGCUGAACCGUCCCGAGGAGGAGGUGCGCGCGCUGCUGCAGGAGCCGGCGGGCGCGCUGGCGGGCUCGCUGCACCCCGCCGCGCUCGCUGUACUCCACUCUUACCACUUAGCCAAGACUGGAACUGCAAUACGCGAUUCAGAAUCGUCGACCAGUUCGGAAAGUGAUUCCGAAUCGUCAUCCGACGAAGACUAGACUAUUUUAGGAUUAUUGUAAUCACUAGAUCGCUUCAUUAAAUGCAUUUAGAUACUUCGAAGCACUGCUGUUGCUGGGGCUAGUGUUAGCGACAUCAUCAAGUUUGAGCCCCGUGACGUCGCUCCGUGAAUCUAGUAUGACCCCUCGAGGUCACUAGAAUAAAAAUAAAAAAGUGCCGAAACUAAGAGUGUGGGUAGAAUGAACAAUAGGGCAAUCGAAAAAUAUCAUAUUAAAGUAAUUGCGUCUAAAAAAACACUAAUGUAAAGAACUUUGUAUUACUCAGAAAGUUACCGCAUAUCCCCACUCAAGCUCUGCAGUCAACUGACUCAUUAAUAAACCUAAUGUAUCUUAACAGUAAAUCAAAACAAAUAAUGCGUCAUUACAAAAAAAAACGAAUUCCAAAAAUAAAAUUUUGCUACCGAAAAAUUACACUGAUUACAGUGUGUGUACUGUUUCUUAUUUUUUUGUUUCUUGAGUUAUACAUAAAUGUUAUUAAUUACAAUUUGAAACGUUUAAAUCAUGGACCGGAUAUCCAUAGAGAUCUAACGUGGAUGGACCUUAAACCUCCCAUAUUUUUUUUUUAUUGCUUAGACGUGUGGACGAGCUCAGCCCACCUGGUGUUAAGUGGUUACUGAAGCCCAUAGACAUCUACAACGUAAAUGCGCCACACACCUUGAGAUAUAAGUUCUAAGGUCUCAGUAUAGUCACAACGGCUGCCCCACCCUUCAAACCGAAACGCAUUACUGUUUCACGGCAGAAAUAAGCGGGGUGGUGGUACCUACCCGUGCGGACUCACAAGAGGUCCUACCACCAGUAAAAACAUCUCGAAAUUAAUAAUAUUAUGCAAUUCUGGGUGGGCUGACUUUUACACGUCAUACGUAAGGUACAAUUGUAGUAAACAUCCCGCUAUAAACGCAACAAACAUUCUACUUAAUUCUAUAUAUUGUACUUGUUUUCGUGACUGUGUAAAUAUUGUCGAGUGCAAUUCUAUGAAUAUCUUAUCGCUGGUGCUUGUAGAACACGAUUUGCUAUUGUGAUCGAAUCGUUGUUAUAACAAGCUGUUCAUGAACAAACUCGCAGAUUCGAGAUUGGGCAGGGUAAAAUACAUACGUGUUGAGUGUUAAAUUGCUCGAAGAGGGCAUUUAGGCUUGAUGCCGCCUCGGGCCCUGUUUGUCGAGCCGCCCUUAAUGUUGGAAUAAAUUUUAUGAAAUUUAAAUUUAAAUGAACUUUAUGUCUUUAGAAUUAAAUAUUUAAUUAUAACUAAUAAACAUUACAGAUAUAAAUAAGUAAUAAACAUUAGACAAAUAAAUAAAUAAAUAUAUAUAUAUUUAAUAUAAUUCUUUUUUUUUUAACAAAUUAAUCAGAAGUCGUUUUGUAAGGAGACUGUCUUUACUUUUUUCGUCUCUAAAAUUUUGGCAUUUCCGAAAAAUUGCCGAUCCUUCAUGCCGCCCUAGGCCCGGAUCUCAUGGGCCUAGGCGUAAAUCCAUCACUAGAAGAGGGUCACAAUCUCGAAUAGCUGAUGGUGACAGGUGAGAUAGAUAGCAAACUUCCCAAAGGACGCAGUCCCACGAGAUGGUUAGACCAAAUUCAAUCUUCUCUGAACAUCAAGUUCCGCGAUGCCUUUAAAGAAACUAAGAAUCGUAGCAGAUUAAGGGAGACCGUAUGUGCGAAAAUGAUGCAGCGGGGGGAGUCACGACCCUCAGUAAAGAGGAAAGCGACACUAGGAGGAGAUUUGUGUGUUUAUAAGUGCUCAUAUUUGGCUGUUAAUAUAUUGACAUGGUCAACGACAUGUUGCGUUUGAAGUUUAAAACGGUGGGCUGUGUACGGCGUAUCCUCCACUCGCAUACCCGCCUAUGAUGACCCCGCUUAUUUCUCCUACAAAGCAGUCAGUUUCCGUUUUAUAACGAUUGAGGCUUCGAUCUCAUAUCUCACGUUUUGAUUUCUUUGAAAUCCCAUUAAUGCGAGCUCGUCUGUUAAUAUAGAGCAAUCAAAAAUCACUCCCAAGAAAUUAUCUGAUCUAAUAAUAGCUAUCAUUUUAAAGGAUUUUAACCUCAAUGCAAGAUCUGAGGAACUAUGCAGAAACAAUAGACCAAUUUAAUUUGCUAAACUUAGCACAAAUAUUAAUCGGUGUAGCAAAAUCAUAAUAUUUUUUGGACCAGCAUUCUAAAUCAAAGACCGUUGAUCUGCGUUUUACCAGCUUUCCAAACAUUGCGUGCAGUGCCCAAAAACGUUUACAAAAAUCGUCUUAUGUAAUAGCGUCGGGAUCAUCCACACUAGUCUCGUCUUCCUAUUGGAAUGAGGAUCCCUAACCUCCAGAGAACAAGACAAUAAGUGCCAUAGAUCCAAAUUAAAAAUUAAUCAUUUAACGAGAUUAAAGGUUGUUAUGUAUUUCACAAGUAUGUAGUCCAUAGAUAUACGAAAUUGUAGUUUGUACCGUUAAACCAUCAUUUGGACGAACACGCGACAUGACAUCGUGGACUGUUAUUCCACAUGUACUAUGGAAGGUGUUAAACAUGAUAAUAGCUUUCUAAAUGUCAGAGGUACGUGAAAAGUUGUGUUUAUCCUUUAGUUGUGACUUUGUGCUCUAGAAGAUUGGACCAGGAAAAUGCUAUCUACGAAUUUAGAAUUUUUUACUUUCGCAUUAAUUGUGAAUUCAGCGAUUGCCUAUCGCACAACGAACUUCGACUGCGGUCCGUAUGGAUUUAUUUGCGAGCCAAAUAAUAAAGUGAGGCUAUGCGAGGGAGACAACAUAAUUGGCCCUGCGUUCCUUUGCCCGCCAAACACAGUGUGCAACGAAGAUUCCGGCGACGUGUGUGAGAACACCGUUAACUAUAUAGAUCCUGACUUCAAUAAAGCAGUACGUUGCCAUCGGAACGAGAGGAUAGCAGAUCCGAGCGUGCCCGGCUGCAAAGGAUACAUCCUCUGUAUUCCAAACAAAAGUCGCUUUCAAGGCAUAAAAUUCCAAUGCUCUGGAAAUACGAUAUUCAACGGCUACACGAGGACUUGUUCAGCGCCAACUAAAUAUAGAUGUCCUCUAUUAAACUCUACCAAGAACGGACUCGAAUUGUUUAAUGAAAACAGAAGAAUCGAUACAUAUCAAGGAAAUUUAAAGAACAGAAAUUCCGAAAAUCCUGCACAAAAACCAAAACCAAUCGAAUGCAGAAAUUAUAAAUUUUCAGUUACGCAGGAUAGUGUUCCCGUAAAAGCGACUUACUUCUGUCCCUCGCGGCCUGUUGUAGGCGAAAAUUCAGUACGAUGUACUAUAUUUUCCAAUCAGUUUUGUAUUACCCUAGAAAGAGAUAGCGAAGAUCAAUUUUUACACAGAACUGGAGUGGCAUAUCGAAAGCCAAGAAUGUGAUGUUUGAAACAAAACUACCGCUGUUACUGACUAUUGGUUUACAACCUACCGCUAAAUAUAUGUGAUGAUUAGACGCACGCAAUAUGAACAAAAUAAGCCAACAAAAGAGAAACUAAAGAUAUUAAAAGAACCGAUGUCAUCAAAA